rnacentral:rRNA from 1 species
GACGAACGCUGGCGGCGCGCCUAACACAUGCAAGUCGAACGGAGCUGAGAGAAGCUUGCUUUUCUUAGCUUAGUGGCGAACGGGUGAGUAACGCGUGAGUAACCUGCCCUGGAGUGGGGGACAACAGUUGGAAACGACUGCUAAUACCGCAUAAGCCCACGAUCCGGCAUCGGAUUGAGGGAAAAGGAUUUAUUCGCUUCAGGAUGGACUCGCGUCCAAUUAGCUAGUUGGUGAGGUAACGGCCCACCAAGGCGACGAUUGGUAGCCGGACUGAGAGGUUGAACGGCCCCAUUGGGGAGGAGACACGGCCCAGACCCCUACGGGAGGCGGCAGGGGGGGAUAUUGCACAAGGGGGGAAACCCUAAUGCAGGGGCGCCGGGUGGAGGAAAAAGGUUUUCGGAUUGUAAACUCCUGUCGUUAGGGACGAUAAUGACGGUCCCAAACAAGAAAGCCCCGGCAAACUACGG